GACGAACGCUGGCGGCGUGCCUAACACAUGCAAGUCGAGCGGUCCGACAUUUAACAUUGAGUAUUCAGUACGAGUUGGCAGAUGAGCCAGCGUCAGGCAGAAACAUACUUGAGAUCAGAUCAGGUUUUUUGCUUCACGCCAUAUCAAGUGCCGACGCAAAGGCGGACUGAGUAUUGAAUGUUGAAUGUCGGAUAGCGGCGGACGGGUGAGUAACGCGUGGGCAACCUGCCUUUCACAGGGGGAUAACACAGGGAAACUUGUGCUAAUACCGCAUAACAUCAUGUGGGGCAUCUCAUGUGAUCAAAGGAGCAAUCCGGUGAAAGAUGGGCCCGCGUCCAAUUAGCUAGUUGGUGAGGUAAUGGCUCACCAAGGCGACGAUUGGUAGCCGAACUGAGAGGUUGAUCGGCCACAUUGGGACUGAGACACGGCCCAGACUCCUACGGGAGGCAGCAGUGGGGAAUAUUGCG
rnacentral:rRNA from 1 species